rnacentral:rRNA from 1 species
CCCCUUAGUGCUGCAGCUAACGCAUUAAGCACUCCGCCUGGGGAGUACGACCGCAAGGUUGAAACUCAAAGGAAUUGACGGGGACCCGCACAAGCGGUGGAUGAUGUGGAUUAAUUCGAUGCAACGCGAAAAACCUUACCCACCUUUGACAUGUACGGAACCCUUUGGAGACAGAGGGGUGCUCGAAAGAGAGCCGUAACACAGGUGCUGCAUGGC